UUAACUUACGGACCAAAAAAGAAUUUAAACCCAAGUUAUAAUUUUAAAGUGAGAAAUUAUUACUAUGUUAUAGUUGAUUAUUUCACUUUUGUAAUAUAGGAGGGUUAUAUGGUUGCAUUUUAUGGAUUAUUCCAAAAGGAAAGUGUUCAACAUUGUCUAAAUGUUUAUAUAUUUAUAAUUUGAGAGUAACUAACAAGAUUUGUAAGACCUCCCCUUUGGUGCGUUAAAGGGGGACGCAAGACGAUCUUAAUUACAUUUGAACUUCUAUAGAAAGAGUAUUUCUUUCGUACAUGCCUUUGACUUCUUUUCUUUUUUUAUUCUAAGUCGUCUUGAUAUACUUUUGCCAUUGAUGUAGUU
rnacentral:lncRNA from 1 species